rnacentral:rRNA from 1 species
UACGUAUGGUGCAAGCGUUAUCCGGAUUUACUGGGCGUAAAGGGAGCGCAGGCGGCGCGCCAAGUCUGAUGUGAAACCCCGGGGCUCAACCCCGGGCAUGCAUUGGAAACUGGCGGGCUGGAGUGCCGGAGAGGUAAGCGGAAUUCCUAGUGUAGCGGUGAAAUGCGUAGAUAUUAGGAGGAACACCAGUGGCGAAGGCGGCUUACUGGACGGCAACUGACGCUGAGGCUCGAAAGCGUGGGGAGCAAACAGG